rnacentral:rRNA from 1 species
GAUGAACGCUGGCGGCGUGCCUAACACAUGCAAGUCGAGCGAAGCACCUUACUUGAUUUCUUCGGGAUGAAAGUAUUGUGACUGAGCGGCGACGGGUGAGUAACGCGUGGAUAACCUGCCUCAUACAGGGGGAUAACAGUUAGAAAUGACUGCUAAUGCCGCAUAAGACCACAGCACCGCAUGGUGCGGGGGUAAAAACUCCGGUGGUAUGAGAUGGAUCCGCGUCUGAUUAGCUAGUUGGUGAGGUAACGGCCCACCAAGGCGACGAUCAGUAGCCGGUCUGAGAGGUUGGCCGGCCACAUUGGGACUGAGACACGGCCCAG